CACGAGCUGACAUGUAUAGUAACUGACAGUGAUAAUUCAGAAAUGGUUCAAUAAAAUCACGUGUCAUAAACGAUUAAGCUAUAAUUAGCAUACUAGAAAACAUCAUUGACGUCAUCGUCGUCAUAAAGAAAUCAACAAUAUAUAAGAUUUUGCGACGAUUGCUACGUCGUCGUGACACAAUAUAAACAUGCAGAAUAAAUCAAAUAUUUAUACAAUAAACGAUGCGCCUCCCUCAUACGCGGAAGCAACAGGAGCACUUGCAUCAGAUACACAGAAUCCACAAUUAGACCAAAGAUAUCCACAUACAACAAUUCAUCCAGUUCCGUCAGAACCAUUUCCGUAUCCAUAUUCGCCGAAUUAUCAGAAUUUGGAUAGAAUACCUGUUCAAUCAUCUUAUCAAUAUGAGUCAACGGAACAUCAAAAUCAAUCAACGGAAGUAACUUACAACAGAACUAUAAUAACAAGAACAAAUACAAGAGACUACAAAUCAUGCACCAGAUUUUUUCGACUGGUAUGGAUAUUAGCUGUAUUGGCAUCUGUAGGAGCACUUAUUAGUUUAAUACUUAGAG